rnacentral:rRNA from 1 species
UGUGCUAAUACCACAUUUAUUUGACGAAGGCUCCAAAGGAAGCCACGGCUAACUCUGUGCCAGCAGCCGCGGUAAUACAGAGGUGGCAAGCGUUGUUCGGAAUUAUUGGGCGUAAAGAGCACGUAGGUGGGUUUGUAAGUCAGAUGUGAAAGCCUUCUGUUCAACGGAAGAAUUGCAUCUGAAACUGCGAGUCUUGAGUGUAGGAGGGGAGAAUGGAACUUCUGGUGGAGCGGUGAAAUGUGUAGAUAUCAGAAGGAACGCCGGCGGCGAAAGCGAUUCUCUGGCCUAUUACUGACGCUCAGUGUGCGAAAGCUAGGGGAGCAAACGGGAUUAGAUACCCCGGUAGUCCUAGCCGUAAACGAUGGGCACUAAGUAGAGGGAAUUACCGAUGUUCUCUCUGCCGUAGCUAACGCAUUAAGUGCCCCGCCUGGGGAGUACGGCCGCAAGGCUAAAACUCAAAAGAAUUGACGGGGGCUCGCACAAGCGGUGGAGCAUGUGGCUUAAUUCGAUGCAACGCGAAGAACCUUACCGGGGCUUGACAUGGUAGAAGUAGGAACCCGAAAGGGUAACGAACGGUAUCCAGUCCGUAACUAUCACAGGUGUUGCAUGGCUGUCGUCAGCUCGUGUCGUGAGACGUUGGGUUAAGUCCCCUAACGAGCGAAACCCUUGUUUUUAGUUACCAGCGGGUUGUGCCGGGUACUCUAGAAAGACYSCCGUCGUCAAGACGGAGGAAGGUGGGGAUGACGUCAAGUCAUCAUGGCCCUUAUGCCCCGGGCUGCACACGUGCUACAAUGGUCGGUACAAACGGAAGCGAAGCCGAGAGGUGAAGCGAAUCCUAAAAAGCCGAUCUCAGUUCGGAUUGGAGGCUGAAAUUCGCCUCCA